GUUUAAAUAAGAUUUGUAUAAAAAUGGAAUUUGAGUGCUGUGUAGUGUAAAUAUCGUGUUGAAAAAAUGGGAAUUCAAAGCUGACCAACCCAACACAGUAAAUAAAUAUAUAGUUCUUAAAAAAUCUGAAAAUAUGUGUGUAUAAUCUAUACAAUACACUUUUAGAAUAUCAAUGAUGUUGUAAUUAGACCAAGAGCUACCACAAAAAUCUGGUGAAUCUUGAAAUUUAAUAUAGCAAGCAAACCCUGAAUUUGCUAAAUUCUUUAUUUAUUUCCAGUUUUUCUUUUCCAGCUUGGUUAAAUAAUUAAUUGGAGCAUUCAGUUAUAACUGUGCACUGUUAAAGUGUAUUUUAUUUUUUCUUUUAUUUAUUUAUCAUAUAUUUAUUUAUUUUUUUAUUACAGAGGGGUAGCUGAACUCAAGACUGAAGAUCUGUUUGUUCAGGUGUCUUUGUUUUUUUUUUUUUUUUAACAGAAAAAUAAGCAUAUGCUUUUUUCACUCUGCGCGUCAUUGCUCAAUAUGUGGCCCAUCAUCUUUGAUUGCCCAAAGCUGUUAUUCUUAACGAUCUUCAGGUUGCCUCUUGCCUACAGUUCAUCAACCAGGACAUGGCAAACAGCCUUAUUCCUUACUGCCAAGCCAUAGCCUUUUAAACUGCAUGGAAUACAUAUCACAUAGCAAACUGAAAUUAAAGAAAUUACAUUACUCUGACUUUCAUCACCUUCUAAAAAGAAGUUAUUGAUCAGUUACUGGGAAGGAGAAACUGUUCAGUGAAAAAUAAUGAAGAAAACAACUCCAAAAGAGGAAAAAAUAUGUUAGAAUAAGAAGGAAAGGAUAUAAAGAAGACAGAAUAAGAAGAAAACCCAAGGACAGACAUCAGAAAGUAUGUAUAGAGGUAAAAAUGCGUUUUGACAAAAUAUUUCAGCUACAACCUGAGAUUAGAGCAUCCUUAUAUGUUUUGUUUUGUUUUGUUUCACAGCAAUAGCUUUCUUAAUGUAAAGUAAAGCUAUGCUGCCAAUUUUCCUGCAGUCUGGAGUACUGCUUUACAAAGUAUUGCAAGCCUACUGUUACCUUCUACCUUUCUUUUCUCAGUUCCUGCCUAUUAUCUGAUAAGACCUAACACAUCACAGAGAACAGGAUAAAGUAUUAGUAUGUAAUUAUUAAUUAUAGUAAGGGUGGCUAUUCUCUUUCUUCAAAUCAG
rnacentral:lncRNA from 1 species